rnacentral:rRNA from 1 species
AUGGAUGUCCUCACGGCGAUCUUCAGGAAGGCGGAGGAGGCGGUCCUCUUCGCCUCGCUUCACGCUCGCGGCAUCCACCAUCGCCUCUCAUUGUACGCAGACGGCGCCAUCUUGCUACUCAGUCCGUCGGUGGCUGAGAUGGACGCGGCAAAGUAGCUCCUGGAGUGCUUUGGAGAGGCCAAAGGGCUGCGGUGCAACUUCUUGAAAAGCUCCAUCUCCACGAUCCGCUGUCAGGAGGAGGACAUUCGGCAACUCCUCGCGCUGGCCGGCUGCAAAUUCCAGGCGCUACCUAUCACAUACCUCGGCCUCCCUCUUUCGCUACGGGCCCUGACCCGCUCGGAGCUUCAACCCCUCAUUGAUCGGAUCGCCGCACGGUUGCCAACAUGGAAAGCGGGUCUCCUCCAU